rnacentral:rRNA from 1 species
UACGAGAGGUCCAAACGUUAUUCGGAAUUACUGGGCUUAAAGGGUGCGUAGGCGGUGCGGAAAGUUGGGUGUGAAAUCCCUCGGCUCAACCGAGGAACUGCGCUCAAAACUGCCGUACUCGAGGAAGAUAGAGGUGAGCGGAACUUACGGUGGAGCGGUGAAAUGCGUUGAUAUCGUAAGGAACACCCGUGGCGAAAGCGGCUCACUGGGUCUUAUCUGACGCCGAUGCACGAAAGCUAGGGGAGCAAACGGG